rnacentral:rRNA from 1 species
CUACGGGACGCACCAGUCGAGAAUCUUCCACAAUGGGCGAAAGCCUGAUGGAGCGACGCCGCGUGCAUGAUGAAGCCCUUCGGGGUGUAAAGUGCUUUUCUGCCGGAGAAAUUAACUUCGGUUGAUGAUGUUAUGGUAGGAAUAAGGGGCGGCUAACUUCGUGCCAGAAGCCUCGGUAAUACGAAGGCCCCAAGCGUUAUCCGGAUUUACUGGGCGUAAAGCGUAUGUAGGCGGUUUUAAUAGUGGCUGGUUAAAUUCCGAAGCUCAACUUCGGAGCAGCUAGUCAAACGUUAAGACUAGAGCAAGUGAGAGGCUAAUGGAACUUACCAAGUAGGGGUGAAAUCCGUUGAUAUGGUAGGGAACACCAAAGGCGAAGGCAAUUAGCUGGCGCUUGGCUGACGCUGAGAUACGAAAGCGUGGGUAGCGAACGGGAUUAGAUACCCCUGUAGUC